rnacentral:rRNA from 1 species
UACGGGAGGCAGCAGUGGGGAAUAUUGCACAAUGGGCGAAAGCCUGAUGCAGCUAUGCCGCGUGUAUGAAGAAGGCCUUAGGGUUGUAAAGUACUUUCAUCGGGGAGGAAAAAACAAAACUAAUAAUUUUAUUUCUUGACGUUACCCGAAAAAGAAGCACCGGCUAACUCCGUGCCAGCAGCCGCGGUAAUACGGAGGGUGCUAGCGUUAAUCAGAAUUACUGGGCGUAAAGAGCACGUAGGUGGUUUUUUUAAGUCAGAUGUGAAAUCCCUGGGCUUAACCUAGGAACUGCAUUUUGAAACUGAAAUACUAGAGUAUCGUAGAGGGAGGUAGAAUUCUAGGUGUAGCGGUGAAAUGCGUAGAUAUCUGGAGGAAUACCUGUGGCGAAAGCGGCCUCCUAAACGAAUACUGACACUGAGGGUGCGAAAAGCGUGGGGGAGCAAAACAGGGAUUAGAUACC